AACGAACGCUGGCGGCGUGGAUAAGACAUGCAAGUCGAACGAGAACUUUCGCUGUAGCAAUACAGUGGAAGGUCUAGUGGCGAACGGGUGCGUAACACGUGGGCAAUCUGCCUUAAAGUGGGGGAUAGCUCGGCGAAAGCCGGAUUAAUACCGCAUGUGAUUACCGAAGACAUCUUCGGAACAUUAAAGUCGGGGCAACCUGACGCUUUUUGAGGAGCCCGCGGCCUAUCAGCUUGUUGGUGAGGUAAUGGCUCACCAAGGCGUUGACGGGUAGCUGGUCUGCGAGGACGACCAGUCACACUGGAACUGAGACACGGUCCAGACACCUACGGGUGGCAGCAGUCGAGACUUUUUCUCAAUGGGGGAAACCCUGAAGGAGCGACGCCGCGUGGAGGAUGAAGGUCUUCGGGUUGUAAACUCCUGUCAUUUGGGAACAAUGCUUACGUAUUAACUGUACGUGAGUUGAUAGUACCAGAAGAGGAAGAGACGGCUAACUCUGUGCCAGCAGCCGCAGUAAUAC
rnacentral:rRNA from 1 species